GCAGUGGUAGCUCAGUGGCUAAACAGUGGACUCCUGAUUGAAAAGUCGUGAGUUCAAAUCCCGGCCACUGUU